CACACACACACACACACACACACACACACACACACACACACACACACACACCAAAGCUUAGAAAGUAGUAUAUCAGAGUGUGUCCCACAGUCUAUACCUGUCUAUACAUCCUCACUUGCAAAUGUUCACUGCAGUAAAUGGUUGGUCUGGUUCAGGA